CUACGGGUGGCUCCAGUGAGGAAUAUUGCACAAUGGAGGAAACUCUGAUGCAGCAACGCCGCGUGGAGGAUGACGCAUUUCGGUGUGUAAACUCCUUUUAAGAGGGAAGAUUAUGACGGUACCUCUUGAAUAAGCACCGGCUAACUCCGUGCCAGCAGCCGCGGUAAUACGGAGGGUGCAAGCGUUACUCGGAAUCACUGGGCGUAAAGGGUGCGUAGGCUGGCUUCUAAGUCAGAUGUGAAAUCCAAUGGCUUAACCAUUGAACUGCAUUUGAAACUGGGAGCCUAGAGUUCAGAAGGGGCAGAUGGAAUUAGUGGUGUAGGGGUAAAAUCCGUAGAUAUCACUAGGAAUAUCAAAAGCGAAGGCGAUCUGCUGGGAUGAUACUGACGCUGAGGCACGAAAGCGUGGGGAGCAAACAGGAUUAGAUACCCGUGUAGUC
rnacentral:rRNA from 1 species